rnacentral:lncRNA from 1 species
UCCUGCAUGACUGAAGAACUUAGUUCUCAUUAAAUUGCCCUCUCCUUUUACUUAUUAUAACCAGAAAUCAAUUGCCAGUUUUUUCAGUAACAGGCGAUAAUGGUUUUGCUGGCGUUAAUGAGAGCAGUGGGAACAGACAGCCGAGGGUGAAGGGAGGACAGUGCUGUUGUGGGGACAGCGUGAUGCAGGCACAGACAGUACACCUGCGAGAAAGUUACAUCCCAGGAGGGGCACAUAUGAAAAGAAAGAAGUAAGAAUGCCACAUGGUAUGAAAAAAACAAGAGUAGCAUUGACAGCAACUAGGUCAUUAGCAUCAGGAGAGGAGGGCAAGCACUCUGCCUAGUCUAACCACUUACCUAGUGUGGUUGUGUGAAAUGGUUAUAUUUGAGCUGAAACGGGAACACUGAGAAGGAGACAGCGCUGAGCAAGAACAAUUCCAGGCAGAGGAACCAGCAAGUUUGUCACGUUUUUCUAGGCAGAAGGUAGUCCAACAUGGCGAUGCAGAGUGAAUGAGGAGGUUAAUGGUAGGAGAUGAGAUCAAAGGGGUGGGCAGGAUGGUCUCGAUCUCCCAAAAUGGCCAGACCAUUUUGGGUCCUAUAGGCCUGGUAAGGGGACUGGAUCUACUAUGGCCACUGUGUGGCACAUGGGCUGUAAAGGACAAGAUUGAGAACCAAGAGACUGAACAAGAAGUUGUUUCUUCACCUGUACAAGUGUUGAUGGUGGAUGGGCUAGGCUAGUUGUGGUGAAAAAGACCACAUUCAGGACCUGUUUUGGAGAUAUGCCACUAAGACUUGCUAAUGAGGUGUAUAUGGGAAUGAGAGAAAGGGAAGAAUCAUCAGAGACUUCUAGACUUACGGCUUGAGCAAAUGAGUGAAUAGUGUUGCACUCAAAGAAGUUGGCGAAAUGAGCAGGGAGGGCAACAGGUUCCAGAGGAAAAGCAAGAACUUUAUUUUGGACACUUGGGGUUGAGACUCCUGUUAGACCCAGAAGGGAAGAUUGACAGCUCCUACAAAGUGUACUCCAGGUUGAAUGACCCGGACUUGGAGAAUUGUUCUUCUGGGAGGUGUGGCGGAUCCCACUGUGAGAAAGAACCUGCAGGAAGGGGCCAAGGCUUCCUGAAAGAGUCAUCAUGACUCCAACACUGGACCAUAUUCUGACCACUAGAGGAACUGAAUUAGAGUUUCACUGAUGACAACUCCAUGCUGUUUGGGAUCAGCCAGACUUGACAAAACAUGCUGACACACCAAUCACGUGUCACAACACCAGACUCACAGACAACAUUUUCAUGGACACUGAGCCACUUCUGCUUUUAUCCUGUCCUCCUCCACUUCUAGCCUUCAGACACUUGGUGCCUCCCUGAGGAUACACCAACACUUCAAGAACACAGAGUGCACCUGGAGUCGGCUGAGUAGUCCUGUGUCCUGAAAUAACUGCUCGACGUUCCCAGAGCCAGUAAAUGGGAUUUGGGACAUUUUUGUCAUGAAGUCACAAUGUGGGACUAUAAAUGUCUUGCCUUUAAGGGUAGGGUCUUCCCAUGACCCAUCCAUAACAUUUGUGAAAAUGUUGUGUGUUGUGCGUUUUGGAGAGAAGAAUUUUCAUUAUCUUCACAAAGGGAUCUGUUACCCUAAAAGAUUUAGAAUCACUCAGCUUAUUGGUAAGAUGUGCCUAUUCUUUUAGACUCCAGGUGAGGCUUGAUCUCCAGUCUCAAAAGGAAAUAUAUGAUGUCAUCAGACCCCUAGUAAGGUAUUUCUGAAUGUAUGAUAUCAUUUCCAUGUAACUCACCUUGCUAAGUCAUUUAGAUCCAACCGACCAUCUUUAUUUCUGUCAAAAAUCUUCAUCUGAAAUGCAGAAGGGAAAAUGGUUGUACUUGUAACAGGAACUAAUUCUGAACGUUAUUAAAGCACUUUUCUAUUUUGCUCUUCUGAUUACAUAUUUGCCUAAAUUGGCUGAGGAGCCCACUUGCCUGGGGGAAAAUUAGUAUUUGUCACAGAAGGAAUUGCAUGUCAGCCUCUCUGUUAGGAUGAGUCGUAGUAACCAAAUCUCCUAAAUCUCAGUGGCUUAACACAACACAGGUUUAUUUUUCACAGGGUUAGCUGGCAGCUCUACUUCAUGUUGUCUAUACUCUGGCGACAUGGAGUGACAAAGUAGUGACCAUCUGGCACAUUCCUGAUUGCCAUGGCAGAAAGAAAGAAUAAUAAAUAAUUUACUGAUUAAAAUUUUAUUGUCCAAAGCAGAUCCCUGGCCACAGCUACCUUCAAAGGGACAGAAUAAUACAAUCCUGCCAUGUGCUUAAGAGGAAAACUAAUUAUUUGGAGGAUAGCAGCAACGACUACCACAGUCUCUGACAGGCAAAACAGGAUUUUUAUAAAGAUUACAAGCUUGAAAUAUGGGUACUUGGUUUGAGUCAAGGUUUUCUGAAACUAUUUUAUUCUAGCCCUCAUUUAGCAUAUCAACCACCAAGGAGGGCUUGGAGGGCUCAUAUCAUAGGGUACUCUCAUAGGGUAUAGGAGAAACCUCAUGUUUCCGUGAAGGCAAAAGGUGUUGACACUGAGUCUUUCCUUUCAUAGAGAGACUUAGCAUUGUCCAAAGAAGUUGUUUACAUUAUUAGAUGAGACUAAACUUUAAACAAGAUAGGACUAAAAGUUAAAAGUUUCUGCACUAACCACAAAUUAGAAAGACCAGAUUGGUUUGGGCAAAAUAGAAGAGAGAGAUUUCUUUGCAGAUCUGAGUUGAAAUGUGAGUGAAUUUUGUGACUUUACAACAUUUUAAUGCUACAGAAUAUCUCUAAGCAUAUCCAUAUAAGGAGGCUGCACAGGGAAAAAGAGGGAGCGAGAUAAUCUGAAAAUACAUCCAACAGAUUUUUGCUUUAAAAAAUGCAUUAGUCCCCCAUCCUUCCUCUGUCUCCAAAUCCAGUUUAUUUUUAAUAUUUCAAAUGAAUUUGAAAACCUAUUCUCACCACUUUGGCACCAAAAAUGUGUAUUACAGAAUUAAAACACAGGUUACAUUUUUAUACAUUUGGACAUGUUACAUGUCCAAUUACGUCCCUUAAACAUAAACACUAUACAGUAUCCAGUAAAAAGUCUGAUGGGGAUAAACUUUGCCAGAAGAUGAGCCAUGAGUUAUUUUCUGUGACACCUUCAUUAUGAGAGGUUCUAUCUUAAUAGAAAGCUAGGUCAGCUUGAGCUCUAAGCAAGUAACAACUCACCUUGAAAGACGUGGGCCUAACUCCAUUGCUGUGCAAACUUACUCCAAGAGAAAACAAUCCUGUGCUCGAAAUUGGCCUGGGUUGAACUAAACACCAGUGUGGUAAAUUAUGCUUCUACCUAUCAGAAAAUUGGCUAUGGCUCACGUAAGAAUAAGAAUCAGGAAAAAAAUCAUUUGCCUAAUUUUUCCAUCUCUGAGUGUAUACCAGCAGGGAUGAAUGGCACACAUAUUCGGCUGUGUCUGCUCUUCUACUUUCCUGGGGCCUCUGUAGCUCUAAGUUCAAAUAUUAAUAAUGAGGGAAGCUUGCAGCAUGCCUGUAGCACCAGACUAGAAAUCAGAUCUUGUGUGACAUUAAGACAUUAUGCUUCUUUGCAAGUAUAACCUUUAGUGAAUUUUGAAUGCUUGGCAUAUUUGUUUGAGACAUAAUGGCUUCUUAAUUUUUAAACUAUAAUAAAGACCAUUUAUGAGGG